rnacentral:rRNA from 1 species
AGUCUGGUGCCAGCAGCCGCGGUAAUUCCAGCUCCAAUAGCGUAUAUUAAAGUUGUUGCAGUUAAAAAGCUCGUAGUUGGAUUUCUGGUAUGGUGCGCCUGGCCCACGGUUGCAAAACCGCGAGUGUCGGUGUGCGCCUGCCAUCUUUCUAGUUAACUGGACGCACUUAACUGGGCGGUCAGCGAUCUAGUUCUUUUACUUUGAAAAAAUUAGAGUGUUUAAAGCAGGCUUGCGCUAUGAAUACAUUAGCAUGGAAUAAUAAUUUAGGACUUUACGCCUAUUUUAUUGGUUUCUAGGAGUGAAGUAAUGAUUGAUAGGGAUAGUUGGGGGUGCUAGUAUUCAUCGGCCAGAGGUGAAAUUCUUGGAUUCGAUGAAGACUAACUAAUGCGAAAGCAUUCACCAAGGAUGUCUUCUUUAAUCAAGAACGAAAGUUGGGGGAUCGAAGACGAUCAGAUACCGUCGUAGUCUCAACCAUAAACUAUACCGACUAGGGAUAAGGGGAAGUUGCUUUUUCGACUUCCUUUGCACCUUAUGAGAAAUCAGAAGUCUUUGGGUUCUGGGGGGAGUAUGGUCGCAAGGCUGAAACUUAAAGGAAUUGACGGAAGGGCACCACCAGGAGUGGAGCCUGCGGCUUAAUUUGACCCAACACGGGGAAACUUACCAGGUCCGGACAUAGUGAGGAUUGACAGAUUGAAGUUCUUUCUUGAUUCUAUGGGUGGUGGUGCAUGACCGUUCUUAGUUGGUGGAGUGAUUUGUCUGCUUAAUUGCGUUAACGAACGAGACCUCGACCUACUAAAUAGUACAGCGUAAGCUUUGCUUAUGCGUGCACUUCUUAGAGCACUGUUGGUUCAAAGCCAAAGGAAGUUCGAGGCAAUAACAGGUCUGUGAUGCCCUUAGAUGUUCUGGGCCGCACGCGCGCUACACUGAUACGUGCAUCGAGCUUACAACCUUGGCUGGGAGGCCUGGGUAAUCUUUUCAAAGCGUAUCGUGCUGGGGAUAGAUUAUUGUAAUUAUUAAUCUUCAACGAGGAAUUCCUAGUAAGCGCGAGUCAUCAACUCGCACUGAUUACGUCCCUGCCCUUUGUACACACCGCCCGUCGCUGCUACCGAUUGAAUGCAUUAGUGAGCCUCGAGGAUCGUCUUUUCUGAGGGUAAAACUUCGGUCUAGAUGAGAAUCGCUGCAAACUUGCGCAUUUAGAGGAAGCAAAAGUCGUAACAAGGU